UUGAGAUAAGCAUCCUUGCUGAUGCAACGCAUCAACAAGGAUGUUUAACUCAUCAGGAUUCCUCCAGCGGAUCAAUUUUGAAAAAUAAUGACAAAUUCUAACAAACAUCCAAAAUUUUGAUUAAUUUGUAUUUUUUUUUUCAGCCGGCUGCUUCCAAUAAUUCCGGAUUGGGACGUGUACGGAAAUUGAAUAGAGCCGCCUGCUUCCAAUAAUUCCGGAGGUGUUCGGGAAUAGAGUGGCAACCACUUACGCUAGGGAGGCAAUUGAACACCUAGACCUGGACUCAUCAACUCAAGGGCCAGGAUCCACGGCUGUGCUUCUUUUCGAAGGAAGGCAUGACACCACCAAAGCAACCAAGGAAGUCAUCAAUCCCCACCAACUGACGAGUUUCGUUUGUGGUUCGACACAUGGACGGAGCAUUUGUGUUUUGCUAAAUUUUGCAAAUUAUUGGGGAAUUUCCCUAAAGUUUCACGCGGCCACCAGUUUUCACUCUUCCACAGGCCUUAAGGGUAACCCACAUUAGAUCUGCUUGCGUUGCGUUGUCGUAAAUUUUAUAGUUAGACAAUAUAUUUAGCUGUCACUUUGCUGCAUCGCGCCAGAUCCGGAUCUAAUGUGGGUGGCCCUGUAGAUUUGGAAACUUGAUUAUGUAAAUACUAGGCAUCUUUGUCUGGUAGUUCGUUCAAAAAUGAUACAACAAUCGUCAAGCUCGCUGUAACGUCACCUAGUGCCUCGUCACCUACAAAUUGGCGCCUAUGUCAGUGGUCUAAUAACUCUUAGCGCGCUAAUGGCAUAGUUCCCCUGCCGCAUAGAGAGUUACCACAAUGACAUUAGGUUAGCUAAGGUCAGUUAACUGACUGGUGGGAAACGGGAGCUUACGCAAUGGCUAUUCUGUAUGCAUUUAAGAGAUAGUCUACCAGAAUGGAUGAUUUUUUUUGUACAAUUUUAUGUUUUCUGAUUGUGCAAAACAUGAGAAUUAACUUUUCCAAUGCUUUCAAUUGUACAAAGCAUUAGUGCUAGAAACAUGAUCUUGUAAACACUACACACCUUAACUGUUAGUUUGAUUAAAAAAUGCUGCAACAAUCGUCAAGCUCGCUGUAAUGUCACCAAGUGCCUCGUCACCUACAAAUUGGCGCCUAUGUCAGUGGUCUAAUAACUCUUAGCGCGCUAAUGGCAUAG